rnacentral:rRNA from 1 species
GAUGAACGCUGGCGGCGUGCCUAAUACAUGCAAGUCGAGCGAACAGACGAGUAGCUUGCUCCUCUGACGUUAGCGGCGGACGGGUGAGUAACACGUGGAUAACCUACCUAUAAGACUGGGAUAACUUCGGGAAACCGUAGCUAAUACCGGAUAAUAUAUUGAACCGCAUGGUUCAAUAGUGAAAGACGGUUUUGCUGUCACUUAUAGAUGGAUCCGCGCCGCAUUAGCUAGUUGGUAAGGUAACGGCUUACCAAGGCGACGAUGCGUAGCCGACCUGAGAGGGUGAUCGGCCACACUGGAACUGAGACACGGUACAGACUCAUACGGGAGGCAGCAGUAGGGAAUCUUCCGCAAUGGGCGAAAGCCUGACGGAGAAACGCCGCGUGAGUGAUGAAGGUAUUCGGAUCGUAAAACGAUGUUAUUAGGGAAGAACAAAUGUGUAAGUAACUAUGCACGUCUUGACGGUACCUAAUCAGAAAGCCACGGCUAACUACGUG